AUGUCUCACUCACAUUUCACUGGUAGUUGCUUUUGUGCUCUUCCUUGUGGGUGGCAAGCAAGGUUUUACAGUGGAGUUAUUGUUGCAAUAACCUAUGCAUUGUUCAUCGGAGCGUUCUGCAUUGAAGUUUGUGCUGACUUCUUGAUGGUGAUGAUGUCUCCAUGUACAUGGGCAUUCUUGGAAUCCUGUAAGUGCCGGAGAGUUGCCCGUGUGGCUUGGUCUGUUUUCAUGAGCCUACAGCCAGAGUCAAGGCUGUGGUCGUCAAAUUCCAUGGGGCAAUACAGUUUUCUCAAUUCCUGUUUCUCUGAGUCUAUCAUGGGGAAAAUGAUGAAUCUGGUAGGAGCCAAGGAGAUCUGGUGCAACUUCUGGCAUACCAAGAACGUUCAGAUCACGGCAGAGAUCAAGAAUGUCAUCUUUGAAACUAAGCAUCAUCCUGGGUCACUUAGCGGUGGUACAAGCCCGCCUUGGUCCAGCAUUGGACACAAUACACAGAAACCCUUUGAGGAGGCUAUCCUAUUCCUACAUGUCUACACAGACAUAUUCCUGCACCGGUACAAGAAUCCCUCGGGGACUAGCCGCAACAUCAUGGAGAAGAAGCAUCAGCUUAUGGAUACAUGCAGGGGGAAUAUCUGA
rnacentral:rRNA from 1 species